rnacentral:ncRNA from 1 species
GUCUAAGUACACAUGGCUGGGACAGUGAAACUGUGAAUGGCUCAUUAAAUCAAUUAUGGUUCCUUUGGUCGCUCCAACUGUUACUUGGAUAACUGUGGUAAUUCUAGAGCUAAUACAUGCCGACGAGCUUUUUAACUGCAGCAACUUUAAUAUACGCUAUUGGAGAUGGAAUUACCGCGGCUGCUGGCACCAGACUUGCCCUCCAAUAGAUCCUCAUUAAAGGAUUUAAAGUGUACUCAUUCCAAUUACAGGGCCUCAAAAGAGUCCUGUAUUGUUAUUUUUUGUCACUACCUCCCCGGGUUGGGAG